rnacentral:lncRNA from 1 species
GUACUGUGUAGCCAUCACUGCCCCCUGUGCUGCUUGUCCCCAGUGGUUGCAACCUCUGACUUCUGCCUGGCCUCUGUCUGCUUGCUCGCAGUGGACUCUCUGUUGGGAAAGCACCUUCUUCUCAUCUUGUCUGAGCUUGCUCCACCUUGCUGGGGUGGGGAAAGAGACGAAUGUCACAAAAGCAGGAGGUAGAGGCCCAGGGAAGCGAGUGGGCAGGGCUGGAACUGGAGGGAGCCCAGCUGAGAAGCAGAGUCUUAUAGGGAGAAUUAGAAUUCUGAAGGAGGAGGCUUUGGUCGUCCCCAGGAAGCCGGGUUCAAAGAAAUCAAGAAAAUAACUAGUUGAAAAUAGAACCUGGAAUUUCAGCUUAUGCGUCAGGAUUGUAUCUGAACCCCAAUAUGGUCUUCAACUGUGAUAACUUAGUAAAGUUUACCUUUUCUACGACUAUUUAACUUUUUUAUUGCUCAGAUUUUUUUGUCUUAAAUGUUUAUUUUUAAUGCAUUAGAGAAAUGUUUGUAUACAAGUUUACAAAAAAGAAAUUAUGAAAGAG